rnacentral:lncRNA from 1 species
CCAUCAAUCUUUUCCGACCAAAUAAAAUUUAAUAUAGACCUUCCAGAAUGCAUAAUUAGUGUUAUUCAAUAUUUUGAUCUUAGCAGCUUUAGCCAUGAUGAUUUAACUCUUGAAUCAUCAAACAAGAGUCCAUACUUGUACUAGUGUACAAUGAAUUAGUAGAAGCUUUUCAAACACGCUGAGCUAUGAAUGCAUAAAUCACCAAUCUCUAGGCCUAUAACUCUGGUAUCAUGUAGAACGCAAAAUAAAUAGGUCACGAAUUUCAAAUCAUUAGCUCUGAUACCAU